UAAAUAACCUAAAUCACUCAGUCGUCACAUUUCACACUUACCGAACCCUAAAUCCUCACUCUUUUCCUUCACGCUUACUGAUUUCCCUUUCUCCUUCACCUUCAAGGGUAUGAAGUUCAAUCGAUUCAGUGUGUUAUCAACGCGUUUUGUUAUAUUUGAUUGUUGGUGGAAGACGGUAGAGGUUCUCGGAAGUCACAGCUGCCCAUCCGGUGGCGGUGCUUCGAUAGAGGAAGUUGGUGGCGGUGGUGGUGGCCUGAAAAGGAACUAUGAUGACGACAUGGGUUCAUUUAGGGUUUUGUCCAACGGUGGUCUUGUGAUGGUUGUGGUUCAAGGCACAGGGCGGCGGCUAGGGUUCCACCACCACAAAACCCUAGGAAAGUCUUCAGAUCUUUAAUCCCAAAAAUCAUCUCAUCCAGGUUUCUUUUGAGAUUAUUUGAUUGUUACGAUAUUGGUUUUCUUGAUUCAAAGUCAUAUGAUGUUUGAAAUCUUCUUACAGGUUCGUGUUCUUCACUUCUUCCUCUCUUAAUUUUACUUUGCUGUAUGAUUUUCUAUUAGUUCGUUACUUUAAGGUGAAUCGAUUACUUGAGUUUCAAUAUGAUUUAUUUUUAUUCUGUUGUGUGCUGAUGAGGUUCAACUCGUGGUGGUGUUGUCUUACAAGUUUGCUGGUUCAUCUUUUUCUAUUAUUAACUCUAGCAUGUAACCGUUUUGGUACAUGAUAGAUUUCGACGUGUAGAUUAUUGGUUUGAAUCAGACAUCAAGGAACCUAGCUACAAGUUCUUGACUUCGUUAGCUGGAGGCUACAUCCAAGAAGCUGCACGAAAGCUGUUAGAGAAGAAUAACAUUGAUAGUUUUUACAGGUGUAUACAAGUCAUUUUUUAAUGGAGAUAUAGGCAACUGAAACUACAUACACUAAUGUAUUACUUUAUAAUCAGCAAGCUCGCUUUGCAUGUCUUAUGUCUAGCAAGUAUCUCGGACAUGGCUGCCUACUACAUGUGGUAUUAGAUGUGUUCCAAAUGCCCAAACAUGGUUUCCCCCCAGAAUAGUCUUUUGGUGUGUACUUUUGGAAAGCUAGGGACCAAAUCCAAAAUUUGGUAAACCAUAGGGACCAUCCCUGUACUUUACUCAAUAAUAAAUUUAAAAUUGCAGUUCAUAUAUUGGUUAUUAUGAAAUUUAGAACCGGUUUGUUGUUUGGGCCUUUAGACCGAAUAUGCGGUUGACCAAAUUAUAUUAUAGUCUAGCUUAUGAACCAUGUAACAAAAGUAUAUCAAGAUUGAUCUUUUCUAUCUUUUUGUUACAUACCAUCAUAAUGAAAUCCUACUUUUUUUACUGUUACGCAGGGUCAGUAUAUAGAGAUUAAAAAACGGUAUACUUGAAUCUAUAACUGAAGGCGGAUAUCUCUGAAAAUAAGAUUGUGAUGGGAGCAUCGCGGGCACAAAAGCUAUCUGGCUCACAUUGAAUCACUCGUAUCAGCUGAGUUUCGUAAAAAUGCGCAAUCGAUUGAUCGUAAGAAUUUCUUACAUAUCGAGUAUUUGCUUCGUCGUGCAACAUCUAAGGUUGAGCAGCUGGCCUGAUAUGAACAAUGUUGCAGCAAGCGUUGGUUUUCAUGGGGAAGCACUAAGCUCGAUGCUUCUUUGCCAAAAAAAUUUACUAUGUCACAUGGAAUGCCAAAUGGCUACCACAAUGCCAUAAAGGGUGAAAAUUCUUAUAUAUAAGAAUUGGUGAUGAUAAACAAGAUGUUGGCACAACAGGUAACGUAUUCUCAAGUGUUAUACACAAAUGUGUCAUUGGUUUGAAGGUUUGACCAUUUGUUAGCACAUUGUUGAAUAUUGCCGUUGUUCGCGAUGUAUUCGAUAAUCAACCAGUUAAAAGGAGACAUUAUAGUCCAGGUUCUUCUUUUUUGUGAUAAAUUGUAACGUAAAUUGUUUUAAUCAUCUUUAAUUGUUGUAUGGAAUGGCAGUGGGCUGCACUGAAUGAUGCCGGACAGUAGGAGCUUCAGUAGCUUCCACUGUUGGUUGGACAACCAGUGAUGUCGAGCACAAGGGAUCAGUGGAUGUAGGCGUUGGAUGGGGCUGGGGUACUUACUAUUAAGACUAUAAAAAAAGAGCUACAAAGGAAGCGGUACGGGGUCUCGGCUAAUGUGUUUGAGCGGAACAG